GUGGGGAAUUUUGGACAAUGGGCGAAAGCCUGAUCCAGCCAUGCCGCGUGAACGAUGAAGGCCUUCGGGUUGUAAAGUUCUUUAGCCGAUGAUUAUAAUGACUGUAGUCGGAAAAUAAGCCCCGGCUAACUUCGUGCCAGCAGCCGCGGUAAUACGAAGGGGGCGAGCGUUAUUCGGAAUCACUGGGCGUAAAGCGUGCGUAGGCGGUUUUGUAAGUUAGGAGUGAAAGCCCAGGGCUCAACCUUGGAAUUGCUCUUAAAACUGCAAGGCUCGAAUCUCGGAGAGGAUAGCGGAAUUUCCAGUGUAGCAGUGAAAUGCGUAGAUAUUGGAAGGAACACCAGUGGCGUAAGCGGCUAUCUGGACGAGUAUUGACGCUGAGGCACGAAAGCGUGGGGAUCAAACAGGAUUAGAUACCCGUGUAGUCC
rnacentral:rRNA from 1 species